rnacentral:rRNA from 1 species
UACGGAAGGCAGCAGUGGGGAAUAUUGCACAAUGGGCGCAAGCCUGAUGCAGCCAUGCCGCGUGUAUGAAGAAGGCCUUCGGGUUGUAAAGUACUUUCAGUCGUGAGGAAGGUGUUAAGGUUAAUAACCUUAGCAAUUGACGUUAGCGACAGAAGAAGCACCGGCUAACUCCGUGCCAGCAGCCGCGGUAAUACGGAGGGUGCGAGCGUUAAUCGGAAUUACUGGGCGUAAAGGGCACGCAGGCGGUUAAUUAAGUUGGAUGUGAAAUCCCCGGGCUUAACCUGGGAAUGGCAUUCAAGACUGGUUAGCUAGAGUCUUGUAGAGGGGGUAGAAUUCCGAUGUGUAGCGGUAAAAUGCGUAGAGAUGUGGAGGAAUACCGGUGGCGAAGGCGGCCCCUGGACAAAGGCUGACGCUCAUGUGCGAAAGCGUGGGGAGCAAAC